rnacentral:rRNA from 1 species
GCCUACAGGAGGCAGCAGUGGGGAAUAUUGGGCAAUGGGCGCAAGCCUGACCCAGCAACGCCGCGUGAAGGAAGAAGGCUUUCGGGUUGUAAACUUCUUUUCUCAGGGACGAAGAAAGUGACGGUACCUGAGGAAUAAGCCACGGCUAACUACGUGCCAGCAGCCGCGGAAAUACGUAGGUGGCAAGCGUUAUCCGGAUUUACUGGGUGUAAAGGGCGUGUAGGCGGGGAAGCAAGUCGGAUGUGAAAACCACGGGCUCAACCUGUGGCCUGCAUUUGAAACUGUUUUUCUUGAGUACUGGAGAG